UAGUUUUCACUACCCGUUGAAAAGAUCCAGUAGGACGUAGGUGGUGAGGUUCCUGGAGCGGAGAAGCCGGGCGCCGUCAGUCGAGUAGGGUGGUGGGAUGGAUUUUGUGCAUUCUUACUCUGCAUCAUCGUCCUUGACAAGAUGAAAGAGGAACAGAGGAGGAGAGAGUAUCGGAGAAGAGAAGCGAAGAGAAGAGAGGGCAAAAGGGUCAAAUUCAGGCAGCUUUUCAUAAUGUUCGUGGCACCAUAAAAA
rnacentral:lncRNA from 1 species